CUGAGUGGAAGAUAAUUAUCAUGCCAGCAACUUCAGUGAAGUGUUACAAUUGCCCACAGAUGAAAGAGUCAUUCACUGGGAACUUAGCUGAUGGAGAACUACAGAAUAUUCUUUAUGGCUCUAUCGUAGGAAAGUUAUGUCUUUGAGUGCUGCUGAAAAAGAAACCGCUGAGGGGCAGCAGGUUUUCACAUGGAAAAUAUUACUGUCUUUCAUCUGUAAGGAAAUCUUGAGCUUUGUCACUUGAUCUUUCUUCAAUUGCACUGAAAUGAUGACAUGCAAAUGUUUAGAAAUGAAUGCUACAAAACACUCUUGAACCACCCAUCGAUAACUGAUUUACAACUUUACUUUACUGGACACAGAAGCUCCGAGGUGAAGUUGACUAAAAUAUAUAGAAAGUCCAUCUUCUGAUUCCUAACAUUGGGAUGUAAUUGAUUGC